AAGUCGGGAAACUUUGGUUCCGCCCGGAUGUUUCCGCCCAGACCGAAGAACGGAAACACCGGACAUCCGGCAGCCUCGCGAAGGCUGUAAUCAGCCGAUUGAGCACAGCUGUGCCUAGUUAAAGAGAUCGCCGGGCAAUUGGACAACUGGAGGACAUGAAGGAGUAUUUAAAGCACAGUUAAAUGACAGUUCGGGAGUUCGGGCACGAGAGGGGGAUUGACACGGGGAAAGCUCCUCUGCUUAAUGCAGACAAAGAACUACGUACCUUUUGAAGAGCCCGCAGGCUCUGUUGAUCCGGGCUGCGCUUGGAGCGCGCGGAAAGAAGACAGGGCUGCCUGGGGUGAAAGAAAGGCGAUACGUGGGUGGAGGAAAGGAGCACCCCGAAGAGAGCAUUGAGCUGUCAAGUCUGCGUAGUGUGUGCUGAGAAAACGGAGCUGUGCUCAUUGUUGGACGUGGUGGCUGUCUGUGUUUCUCUCUCUCUCUCUCUCUCGUUGUAGUCUCUAUUGUGGACCUGCUGGAGUAAACAGGAAAAUCCUAUGGGUAAAAAGGAAUUUUGUUCUAGCCAAUACUGAAGGAGUAAAGCAGGAAGAAAAUUGACCUUCGGGUACAACGUAAACAAAGGCUAUUCGCCGUGAGUAUACCCUCUUGGUGUGGAGUAACUUGCAAAAAUUAACUUGUGUAACCAUUGGAAACCUCCAGGAGAAGGAGGGCGGCCCUACCCCUAUAAUAGUGUGGUGGGCGAGCCGUUAGAAGUACAAAUUCAAACAGCCACCGCUACGAGACUUUAUUGUGGUCGUAUUUCCCAUCGCCCUAUCUUAGCCCAGGCGCAGUGGAGGACACCGGGCGCUUCCCUUGUUGUGGUGCACUUAUAGUGUGGUGAGUGAGACUGUGUAAUAAAUCCUUUCACGUUGGAGUGGUGCUGUGUAUUUGCUGUGGGUUGCUGUGUGUCUUGUAGACGAAGCCCCGCAUCAUCCAUUUUCUUCUACUGGGCAGAGGACGGAGAGGCCAACGACCUCAGAAAUUACUGUUACCAUAUGUAGUGUGCUGUUCGGAGUACGAAGGGACGCAGACCAAGAGCUGUCCGUGACCGUGAGUAAACCAUUGGAAACAUUCGUGGUGUAAACUUACCUGUGUCUGUUUGUCGCAGAGUCAGAGGCGAAAGGGUCCGCCGCCCCCGCGGUCUCUACAAAGGGGCGCCCCUGUCCAGGAUUCGAUCGGCCUACGGGCAGUGGAGAUAGGGCAGCGCUCGACCCGGUGAGGUGGUGUGUGACCUUCGCCCCUCUGCUGACCUACGGAGGAAACCAUACCUACCCAGAAAGCUGUAAACAGCAGAGCCGCGGCCACCUGUGGAGAGAGAGAAGAACGAGAGUGAAUAAUUGAAGAACAGACCGUGAACGUGAUACCUACCCAGAAAGCUGUAAACAGCAGAGCCGGUGAGAAAUACUCGAAGUCCAAGUAACAGUGUCUUUGUGUCCUAGCGGCCACCUGUGGAGAGAGAGAAGAACGAGAGUGAAUAAUUGGAGAGCAGACUGUGAACGUGAUACCUACCCAGAGGGCUGUAAGCAGCAGAGCCGGUGAGGAAUACUCGAAGUCCAAGUAACAGUGUCUUUGUGUCUUAGUGGCCGCCUGUGGAGAGGAAGGAAAACGUGAAUGAACAUGAGGAGAAUGGGCCGUGUGAAGAUACAGUGGUGGUGGAGGAGAGCCUAGAGUGGCCAUUAUUUUAAGUUCCCCUUUUCCCCUUCCCUAUUUAAUAUUUUUAAGUAAUUUAAUAAAGGAUAUUUUAAUUUUA